rnacentral:rRNA from 1 species
AGUUUUCUGUAGCAAUACAGGGAAUGGGCGCACGGCGCACGGGUGCGUAACACGUGGGCAAUCUGCCCUUGGAUGGGGAAUAACCCCGCGAAAGCGGGGCUAAUACCGCAUAACAUUUCUGGAACCGUGGUUUCGGAAAUCAAAGCCGUAAGGCGUCCGAGGUGGAGCCCGCGCCCGAUUAGUUAGUUGGCGAGGUAACGGCUCACCAAGACUAUGAUCGGUAGCCGGUCUGAGAGGAUGGCCGGCCACACUGGAACUGAGACACGGUCCAGACUCCUACGGGAGGCAGCAGUGGGGAAUCUUGCGCAAUGGGCGAAAGCCUGACGCAGCGACGCCGCGUGGGGGAUGAAGCUUUUCGGA